GUGUCCCUGGGUGUCCCAGGUGCAGGGUGGCUCCACCUCGUCCCUCCCCUCGGCGCCUUCCUGCCUUCCUUGUCACUGUCACUGGGGAUUAGCGAAGGGACAGCCCCAAGCCAGGGCUGGGGGACGGGGACAGGGCCACCGCCACCUUGCCUGGAUGUAGAAGGCCUGGUAGGACCCCAGGGCUGCAUCCCCCAUCCCUGCGGUGGCCAAGGGGACCCCCCUGAGCCCCGCCAGCCCUUGGGGGCACCAUGAAGGACCGGCUGGAGCAGCUCAAGGCGAAGCAAGACCCUGACGAUGACACCGAGGAGCUGGAGAUCGCCAUUGACAACACAGCGUUCAUGGAUGAGUUCUUCUCGGAGAUCGAGGAGACCCGGCAAAACAUCGACAAGAUCUCGGAGAACGUGGAGGAGGCGAAGAAGCUCUACAGCAUCAUCCUCUCAGCCCCCAUCCCUGAGCAGAAGACCAAAGAUGACCUGGAGCAGCUGACGGCGGAGAUCAAGAAAAUGGCCAACAGUGUCCGCAACAAGCUGAAGAGCAUGGAGAGGAACAUCGAGCAGGAUGAAGCACGGUCCUCUGCUGACCUCCGGAUACGCAAGUCCCAGCACUCGGUCCUGUCCCGCAAGUUCGUUGAUGUGAUGACCAAGUACAACGAGGCGCAGGUCGACUUCCGGGAGCGCAGCAAGGGCCGGAUCCAGCGCCAGCUGGAGAUCACCGGCAAGAACACUACGGACGAGGAGCUGGAGGAGAUGCUGGAGAGUGGGAACCCCUCCAUCUUCACCUCUGGGAUCAUGGACUCGCAGAUCUCGAAGCAGGCGCUGAGCGAGAUCGAGGGGCGGCACAAGGACAUCGUGCGGCUGGAGAGCAGCAUCAAGGAGCUCCAUGACAUGUUCGUUGACAUCGCCAUGCUGGUUGAGAACCAGGAGCCCGUGUACGCCCCGGGGAAGGGGCGGGCUGCUGGACAACGUGGAGCAGUAUGUGCUGCACACAGCCGAGCACGUGGAGCAGGCGGCCCAGCAGACGAAGAAAGCAAUCCAGUACCAGGGCCAGGCGCGGAAGAAGAUGCUCAUUUUGGCGGCCGUAGUGGUGCUCUUGCUGGGGAUCCUUGCCCUCAUCAUCGGACUUUCUGUGGGGCUAAACAAGAAAUAGCCCCAGAGGCGGGGGCUGUGCUCUACCUUCCAACCAUCCCAGCGGCGAUGUCUCCCAGAACGACCCCCCCUGGCACCGCAGCCAGGCCCCCUCCUCGCCUCGCUCUCUCAGCCCUGCUGCCCUCAGCCCCACGACCCUGGACCAUGCCCUGCAGCCCCUGCUGUCCUGCCCAUCCCUGGGGUCUUGUCCCCGUGUCCCCUGCAGGAAGGGGACAGGACUCAACUAUUUAUUACCCCUUUUCUGAUGAAUCAACUUCUCCUGGACCCCAUCUCUUGUUGAGGGCCUGCCACCAUGGGGAAGUCCCAGCGAGGGGACACUGCGAGGGCUGGACCCUCACCCACGUGGGCAUCCCAGGAGGAUGAGGGAUGGGAAUACGGUCAGGAUAGGGUGUUUGGUGGCACCAAGCAGGUGGCAGACGGAGCCCCCCGAGAUGCUGUCCCCUCUUGGCCUUGAUGUCUGCAGCUGGUGUGGCCCCAGAUGCUGACUGCGCCCAGAGCCCGGGGUGGCAGGACGCAGUUGUCGCGGUUCUUUAAUUCCCAUUCCAAUAAAGAUCCUGCUGAUGCCCACCCUGUGCCUCUCUGCUCCGUGCAAAGCACGAUGCCGGGGUGCUGUGGGGACAAACAGGGUGCUGGCACCCCUAGACACCCCUAUUUUAGGUCACAGCGGCUGUGGCAUUGCGGCCAGGCUGGUGGCUUUUGCCAAGCUCCAGGGCUCAGGGAGCAGCCCGUCACAAAGAAACCACUCGGAGUGGAGAUGUGACAGGGAGCACAGGGCAGGGGACACCCCCAAACCCCAGGGUGCUGCCAGCCCGGGUCAGUGUCUCCCGCCACGGGUCUGGAAGAAGAUCAUGAUCAUGCUGUGCUGCAUCAUCCUCGUCAUCAUCUUGGCUGCCAGCAUUGGGAGCAUCUUCGCCUGAGACGCCCACCCGCUGCCCUCCAGGUGGCCUUUCUUCCUUCUGCCCCGAUCCUGCCCACAUCCACCUGCGGCUCCAGCCAUCGGAGAGACCCCAACUGCCGGCCCUGGGCCCCACCUGCCAAGCCCUCAUCCCUGGAGCCCCAAGGACAUGCCUCUACCACAGCCCGUGUGUUUCUGGAGGAGUGGAUCCCGCCUGUCCUGCUCCCUCUUUCCUGUCCACCACCAGGUGAACACCCUGACAUCCCCCUCCUCGCUCCCCUCCUCCUCUGUUUGGGCUGAGGGGCAGCGACCCCUGCAAAAACCAGGGUGGCACAGAGUGGCCGGAGGAGCCGUGUUUCCUCCCUGGGGCAGCGUAGAGGGCUCUGCCUCGCUCAGGGUGGAAGGAGAAGCCUCUCCCCUCACUCAAGAGCUCGUCUGCGGCGACUUGAUGUUGCGUCUUGACAGCUCUUUGGAUGUGCAACCACCUGCGCCAGAGCCCUCUUCCCGAAUAAAGAG